GCUACGGGUGGCAGCAGUGGGGAAUAUUGCACAAUGGGGGAAACCCUGAUGCAGCGACGCCGCGUGAGUGAAGAAGUAUCUCGGUACGUAAAGCUCUAUCAGCAGGGAAGAAAAUGACGGUACCUGACUAAGAAGCCCCGGCUAACUACGUGCCAGUCGCCGCGGGAAUACGUAGGGGGCAAGCGUGAUCCGGAAUUACUGGGGGUAAAGGGAGCGUAGGCGGCAAUGCAAGUCCGGAGUGGAAUGCGGCAGCUCAACUGCCGGACUGCUGUGGAAACUGGAUGGCUUGAGUGCAGGAGAGGUAAGCGGAAUUCCUGGUGUAGCGGUGAAAUGCUUAGAUAUCAGGCGGAACACCAGUGGCGAAGGCGGCUUACUGGACUGUAAAUGACGCUGAGGCUCGAAAGCGUGGGGAGCAAACAGGAUUAGAUACCCCAGUAGUC
rnacentral:rRNA from 1 species